rfam:Beta vulgaris subsp. vulgaris Bvchr9.sca026.con0040.1, whole genome shotgun sequence.
UGCAAUGAUGAUUAAACUAAAUCUCGUUAAUCCGAUUGAUUAAGCUGAGGAUAAUUUUGAAUUCCAUUCUUAAUUCUUUCUGAGC